UCUCUGUAAAUUUAUUCAGCAGCCGCGUCCUCUGCUGCCCUCUCAGGUUUCGCAGGAGGGAGGCCAGGAUGGAGCAGACAUGUUCUUCAUGCUCUUUUUCAGUGGUUCCAACCUUCUUGAUCUUCUUGGGUGAUUUCAUGAAGAGUGGAAAGAUGGUCCUCAGGCCAAGAAUGUCAACAAAUUUGUGGCAGUUGUCUGUGCCCUCGGGUCCAAUCAUGGCAUGAUCCAGCACCUUCAGGGCACUGCUGCGGGAAAUCUUCUUUUCUCUAAGCAUCAGAUUCAUCAGCUGGAGACCCUCGCCUUUUA
rnacentral:lncRNA from 1 species